rnacentral:rRNA from 1 species
AUGGCAGAUCCAAGCAAGGAUAAAGCAUGGGAUUUUAGUGUGGAUAAGCUAUAUGAAAUUUUCAGCAAAAUGUUUGAGCAGCAGCAACAACUCAGAGUGGUUCCUGAAGGAGUCAAAUAUGCACUUGAGCCUAAUCCAGUAAAGCUGGCUGGACCGGGCAAUUACAUCAGCUGGGCACGACAUGCCCAGUUAAUCCUGAGUUCUCAUGGUUAUGAUGACUUGCUUAGUGCCGAUGAAGGAAAACAGCUAAGUGACACUAGCGCAAAACAGGUUAAUGACAGAGUGUUGGUCUGGUUAUUAGGAAGCAUGGAACCACCAAUUCGAGAACAAGUUGAGACCAUGACUACUGUAUCUGAAGUAUGGGCAGCUUUGGAGAAGCAGUUUGCAGGGAAAUCCAAUAAAAUGCAAGGUAAUCGUAUUAUGCAUGAAUUGACAAAUCUGAAGCAAGGCACAAAGUCUGUGACAAAGUAUGCUGGUGAGACCAAAAGACUGUACAGUGAACUGCAUUAUUAUCAUCCCUUUGAGACCAUUGACAAACAAGACUUUGCUAUUCAUCAUACCUGGUUUGAGCCAUUUGUGAGCAAGCUCUUUCUUGAUGGCUUAAAUGAGGAAUUUGACCUUCGACGCCAACUUAUAUUCUCAAAAACUGAGUGGCUUAGUCUUGAUGAUGUUAUCUCAAGUGUGAUAGAGGAGGAGACUCGGUUGGCUCAGCCUGAGAAUGGCCUAAAGUAUACAGAUGCUCGUGCAGCCUUAUCCAUGCAAGCUCGACGUGCCCCAAAGUUUGUUGGCAAAUCAGAUAAAAAUAAAUUUUUUUGCAACCAUUGUAAAAGGACUGGACACAUAAAGGAUGCAUGCUUUGAGCUGCAUGGCUUUCCAACUUGGUGGGAAAAAGGAAAGUCUCGGCCAGGGGGAGUUCAUGGAGCAAACAAAACCUCACUACAUCCAAGGGGGAGCUACCAGUGGUCGAUGUGCGAGCUCUUGAGGAUUUUACUUCCAAGCUUAGACUCUCAGAAGGCUCGUCUACUUCCCAGGAUUCCUCUAAAGCUGAAUCUAGUUUCUAUAUCAAUUCACACCAAGGUAUGA